CUGAAGCUGUAACUCUGCAUGCUGUUAGACUCAGAAAAACAAACAGUCUGCUGACAUCAUCAGAAGUGGUAGCCUGAUCCAAUCACAAUGCUUCCUCAUAGGAUUGGCUGAGACUGACAAGGAGGCAGAUCAGGGGCAGAGCCAGCAUGAUUCAAACACAGCCCUGGCCAAUCAGCAUCUCCUCAUAGAGAUACAUUGAAU